rnacentral:tRNA from 1 species
GAGGGUAUAGUUCGGUGGUAGAGCGCAGGCUUAGGAUGCACGAGGGCCUGGGCUCAAUCCCCAGUACCUCCU